UACGGAGGGAGCUAGCGUUGUUCGGAAUUACUGGGCGUAAAGCGCACGUAGGCGGCUUUGUAAGUUAGAGGUGAAAGCCCGGGGCUCAACUCCGGAACUGCCUUUAAGACUGCAUCGCUUGAAUCCAGGAGAGGUGAGUGGAAUUCCGAGUGUAGAGGUGAAAUUCGUAGAUAUUCGGAAGAACACCAGUGGCGAAGGCGGCUCACUGGAGCUGGUAUUGACGCUGAGGUGCGAAAGCGUGGGGAGCAAACAGGG
rnacentral:rRNA from 1 species